ACAGUGUGAACGUCCGCUCCUGGUGGCUGUCCUCCACCGAGACGUUGCACUGGAGGGCCUGCAGAGCGCCCCCCAACAUGUCCCCGAGGUGCCCAGGACCCAGGGCAGUAUCCCAUGGAGCUGCUGAGGGGACAGCACCUCUUCUAAGGCUGGGCUGGGGUGUGGAGCUGCCAGCCACCAGGGGCAGAUCUCAAGACCAGUUAUGGAAAGAUGGGAAAGACUUCAAACACACUCACGAUGCUCUAGCCAAGAAAAUCUGCAGAACACAAGCUCACAUGGUUCCCAUCAAGAUCGACAGAAGCACAGGACACGGAGGGAGGAACAGGAAGUGUUCAGGGAGCUUGGAGCAGGAGCCCAGACUCCAUGCUUAAGGUGACACUGGGCCACCGAGGUCUGGAGUAGACAAAGCCUGGGAGUCCUAGGAGAUGCCUGCCACUUAAGAGACCCCAUGAGCAUGAGUCUGAGGGGCACGAUGACCCUGAUGGCUGUGCCAUGGCACUGUCAGAAAGGGGGGCAGGAAACACCCGGCACUUCAGGGCCCUGGGGAUCGCCCCUGCCUUCCUCUCUCCAGAUCACCAGUCAGGCAGCCAGGAAGGCAGACGCAGUCUGUUGAGAAUGGCACUCGGCACCGAUCUGCAGGAGGCAGUUUCCUGGGUGAGGGAACACCCCUGCCUCGAGUGAGUGCUGGCACCUGUCCUGAAGGUCCACUCCAACCCCAUGGGGCCCUUCUGCAUCUACACCACACGGUGCACUGUUCUCCCCACGGGAGAGGAUGGGCUGUAACCCAGGUGGACGUCAAGAUGAAGUCCAGUAACUGCUAAUAUCCUGACUUUUAGUUAAAAGUUUUCUGCAAAAAUCAAAACAUUCUAUGAAGUGCCUCCAGAGCUGCACACAGUGUCAGCGCUGCUGCUUCUCAAGCUGACUGUCUUGAGAUGGGAAGUUGACUCUGUCACCCAGGGCUGCAGCCCCGAGUUACCACCAACUGCUGGCCGGAAAGGCAAGGGACCCUGCAGCAGCAGUCCCCUCCGCACCCACAGCCACCCUGGGGCUGUCUCCAGGACGGGCUGAUGCCAGGUUCGUGUGGUUCCUUCCCUCACCGCACCUCGGGGCUCAGCCCAAGUCGGACCCUGCGCGACUCAAGACGACUCCCCCCCGCAGAGGGGGCGGGCGGUGACAUCCCCUCAGUUGGAGCCAGAUGGCCUCCAGCAGUACCCACGGAAAGCACUCUGAUCAUCUCGAGAUCCCCGCCACAGACAACGGCAGCUCCCAGGAGGGUGCGGGGAAGUGGAGGUGCAGGAGCUCAGGGGUGCAGUGGGUGAGCCAGGCUGGCAUUUCCUGUCCUGACCUCAGCUGCCAGGCCCUUCCCACCCUGAGACACCCAAAGCUACUUUUAAAAGUCACCUGAGCACUGUUUUUGGCAUCUUGCAUUGGUUGCAGAGCACAGGGCAGACGUGGGGCACAGACAUGCAGGGCAGAAAGAGGUCGAGUGACUCUGAGCAGAGCACGGGUGAGGCCCUGGCCACAGCACCCGGCACCACGGGAACAGAGGAACCUGCAGAGACCUGGGCUGCCUCCCUGGACAUGCUCCCAACACUAGAUGACUGGCCCAUGCUGCAGUAACAGACCAGGGCUACCCACCCAACCGCUGCUAUUGCCCACUACAUUAACCCCCCCGGGGCCACUAUAACCAACCAGCGCUCCUAUAACUGACCAUAGCUACUAUAACCAACCAGCGCUGCUAUAACCAACCAUGGCUACAAUAACCAACCAUGGCUACUGUAACCAACCAGGGCCACCAUAACCAACCAGUGCUGCUAUAACCAACCAGGGCCACUAUAACCAUGGCCACAAUAACCAACCAAUGCUGCUAUAACCAACCAGGGCCACAAUAACCAACCAGUGCUGCUAUAACUAACAAUGGCUACAAUAACCAACCAGUGCUGCUAUAACCAACCAGGGCCACAAUAACCAACCAGUGCUGCUAUAACCAACCAGUGCUGCUUUGGCCAGGGCUAACCAACCACUACCAUAAUAACCAACUGUGACUACAGUAAUCACUGAGUGCCACUAUAACCACCAAGGUUUCUAUAACAGACCAAGUUUUCUAUAUCUGGCCAAGGUUUCUAUAACGGACCAGGGUUGCUAUCACUGACCAGGGCUACAUUAACCACACCGGGCCCUGCCACCUUCCCCCCGGGCUGGCAGUGGCUCCUUGUGCACGGCAAAGGCCACUAGAGGACCCCCAACACCCACGUGGAACCUGAGGGCUCCUAAGCAUGAAGCUGACCCUCCAGCUCUGAGAGACAGGGGGUCAAAGAGGGGAAACGGGCACUUGGGGAAUCCUGAGCUCUGUGGUGAUUUAAGCCCAACCCAUCUGGUGUACACACAAAUGCCCUUUGAUCUGUGUGGCUUCAUUAACAGAGGAACAGGAGCUUUAGUUGUGAAAGACAAACCGGGCGCAGCCCCUGGCCAGAUGUGCGGCCCCCUCCUGGCGACGUUCCAGGCAGCUGAGUCUUGGUAAAGUGGCUCCCAGGCACACACGAGGUCACCGGAGCAGGGCGCUCCCGCAGCCACCUCUCCCGGGUGCCCAACCUCAAGACUCCCAUGCGCUCCUUCCCUACUCAGCCCCAGCCAGGACAGACUCCACUCCAGCCUAGCUGCCCUGGAUGAGCUCACCAUCAGCUGUGUCUGGCUGCCCGGGGAGGCUGGGCCUGGCUUUCUGCAGGCCUCUCCGGCACCUGUGCCCCUCCUCCUUUUCCCUACCUGUCCUCUUCAUCUGCAAGGGAAUCAGGGACCACCUCUGUUCACAGGCAGCUGCCCCUGGGGCCACUGUCCACAACUCUUCCCGACUCCAAGGACGGCUGCUCCUGUGACUGCAAGGGCAGCCCAGGCCACGGCCCGAGAGACACUUCCCACAUCUGCCCCUGGGUGGCAGCCGGGGGUGGGGGUUUCCUGUGGCGUCUCGGCCCCUGCUUCCCGCACAGGACCUGCGGCCAGGGGCUACCCCCCCAGCCCCCCAGUCCCCGGCCUGCAGGGGCUCAAAGAUGGCCCUGCUUUUGCUGUGCACUGCCCUCAGAGUGUCCUCAGGCUCAGUGAGGCGGGGGAGGCACCUCCAGCUGUGCCUCGGGGGCCAGGCCAGGGGCAUGCCUCAGUUCCUGCCCCG
rnacentral:lncRNA from 1 species